rnacentral:lncRNA from 1 species
ACUUUCUUCAGGGCUAGCAGAUGAAGGCAGCAAGGAAAACACCACCACAAGACCGACUUUAGGCUGGAGCUGAUGAUGCCACACGGCAAGAAAAAAGGGGCUUCCUGGAGCUCCUGCAACCCCAGGCAUUAGUUCCAGUGCAGUUCUAGGAUCAGAUCAAUUCACUCGACAACAAGAGAAACAAAUGGAGAUUCCUACACAAAGACUUUCAAGCACAAAGAAAUCCUGCUGCCUAUAAAGCAGAGCUGCCUCAGCUCUUGAUGAACGACAGAAAAUACCACCUACUGCCAGACCUCUUCGCCUCACAAAACUCUCACCCACCUACUGCUUUUAGCUCAAAUUCCAGGAAUUCAGAUGAAGUGAAGUGCUCUCAUGGGGACCAGGCGUGGGUAUGCCAGUCCACUGCCCUGCAAGUCUCAAGGGAAACCAACUGCCCAUCAGCAAGUCACACCUGCCUUGGUGGAGGCAUUGAUUGGAAGGGCCACAGGCUACAUGUCCAGUCCUGAGUGGGAGAAUCGGUGUAGGGAUGUUCUGGGGAUGCUGGCUGUGGCUAGAUCAGGUCCAGCUACAGAAGAAUAAUGAAGACUUCACCUGAGGGCUGGAAAAACAAAACCUCAAGUGUGAGGCAGCCAACCUAUUACCUCGAGGGACUGUCCCGCAGCACAGCAGGGCCAUGGGAACAGCAGCAGACACCCCGGCCUCC